rnacentral:rRNA from 2 species
UGGGGAAUAUUGGACAAUGGGCGAAAGCCUGAUCCAGCCAUGCCGCGUGUGUGAAGAAGGUCUUCGGAUUGUAAAGCACUUUAAGUUGGGAGGAAGGGCAGUAAAUUAAUACUUUGCUGUUUUGACGUUACCGACAGAAUAAGCACCGGCUAACUCUGUGCCAGCAGCCGCGGUAAUACAGAGGGUGCAAGCGUUAAUCGGAAUUACUGGGCGUAAAGCGCGCGUAGGUGGUUUGUUAAGUUGAAUGUGAAAUCCCCGGGCUCAACCUGGGAACUGCAUCCAAAACUGGCAAGCUAGAGUAUGGUAGAGGGUGGUGGAAUUUCCUGUGUAGCGGUGAAAUGCGUAGAUAUAGGAAGGAACACCAGUGGCGAAGGCGACCACCUGGACUGAUACUGACACUGAGGUGCGAAAGCGUGGGGAGCAAACAGG